UGCAUGUAUAUGUCCAAAUGAGCAGUACAUGCUGAGCUACUAUCUCUCCUUGCUACCCAGACAAGACGUCUGCAGAUCCAUCAGUCAAGUAGAUAUAGAGGAUUGCAGAAACUCACUGGUUUCUCCAGCUGCACCCUUCCCUGUGUCUCAGGGAGAGGGUAGUGCAAUGGCCAGGCUGGCUAUUUCUCCAGUGCGAGGAGAUCCUGACACCAGUCUUCACUAUAUCAUGCCUAAGGUCCGCUUGGUGGGAUGUCGGUUUUCUCCAGUGAAGCUAAUGAAGAUAGAGGGAUCUCAGCACUUGGCAGGACUAAAUGAGUUUUCCCCCUUUCUGGUACCUGAGGUACAUGAGCAAAUGCCAACUUCAAUCAUUUUCCCCGUAUAAACAAAAUAUUAGCACCUGCUCUCAGAAAAUCAGUAAUAAAACUAAUAUUUGUGUCCUCUGAGAUUAUAAU
rnacentral:lncRNA from 1 species